GCUUUCAGGAACACGUUUUGAGGUAAUAAUUACUAAUGAAAAUCAGACAGAAAUUUCAUUUAAAAGAACAUGGAAUGCUUCUCAAUCAAAUGAACCUCCCUUGAACAUUGAUAAAAGGUUUAUAGUGCUACGCAAUACAUCUGGAUUUUAUACAUAUUCGAUCGUUGAACGUUUAAAAGGAUGGCCGAUUUCGUAUAUACAAAAUCUCAGGCUUGUGUUCAAGCUUCAAGGAAACAUGUUUCAUUAUAUGGCUGUUUCUGAUGAGAGGCAACGUGUCAUGCCAACAGAAAUGGAUC